rnacentral:rRNA from 1 species
AUUGAACGCUGGCGGCAGGCUUAACACAUGCAAGUCGAGCGGGGGAAGGUAGCUUGCUACCGGACCUAGCGGCGGACGGGUGAGUAAUGCUUAGGAAUCUGCCUAUUAGUGGGGGACAACAUCUCGAAAGGGAUGCUAAUACCGCAUACGUCCUACGGGAGAAAGCAGGGGAUCUUCGGACCUUGCGCUAAUAGAUGAGCCUAAGUCGGAUUAGCUAGUUGGUGGGGUAAAGGCCUACCAAGGCGACGAUCUGUAGCGGGUCUGAGAGGAUGGUCCGCCACACUGGGACUGAGACACGGCCCAGAGUCCUACGGGAGGCAGCAGUUGGGAAUAUUGGACAAUGGGGGGAACCCUGAUCCAGCCAUGCCGCGUGUGGGAAGAAGGCCUUAUGGUUGUAAAGCACUUUAAGCGAGGAGGAGGCUACUUUAGUUAAUACCUAGAGAUAGUGGACGUUACUCGCAGAAUAAGCACCGGCUAACUCUGUGCCAGCCGCCGCGGUAA